GAUGGAGAACGUAGCGAAAUGCGAUAAGUAGUGUGAAUUGCAGAAUUCCGUGAAUCAUCGAAUCUUUGAACGCACAUUGCGCCUUCUGGUAUUCCGGAAGGCAUGCCUGUUCGAGAGUCAUUAACAACCGUUUCGAUCCCUUUCUUUCAGAAAUUACAAAGAGGAAAAGGGUUUGGUUAUGGUGGAGGAGGGAAAGGGAGCGUUUAGCCUGUAAAAAAAGAGGCUGUGUUCCGCCUCCCCCCCAAAAUUGUACAGGCGGUCGUGUGCGCCCACGCAUCGAGGUGUUGUAAAAGCUGCCACGGCACUUUUCACCUGUGCAGUGCGAGAUUGGCCAGCCGGUUUAAAAACCCCUCCAAACAAUCAAAGGUUGACCUCGGAUCAGGUAGGGAUACCCGCUGAACUUAAGCAUAUCAAUAAGCGGAGGA
rnacentral:misc_RNA from 1 species